UACGGGGGGGGCAAGCGUUGUUCGGAAUUACUGGGCGUAAAGCGCACGUAGGCGGGUCGUUAAGUCGGGGGUGAAAUCCUGGAGCUCAACUCCAGAACUGCCUUCGAAACUGACGAUCUUGAGUUCGGGAGAGGUGAGUGGAACUGCGAGUGUAGAGGUGAAAUUCGUAGAUAUUCGCAAGAACACCAGUGGCGAAGGCGGCUCACUGGCCCGAUACUGACGCUGAGGUGCGAAAGCGUGGGGAGCAAACAGGG
rnacentral:rRNA from 1 species